CAGGUCUUGACAUCCUCUGACAACCCUAGAGAUAGGGCGUUCCCCUUCGGGGGACAGAGUGACAGGUGGUGCAUGGUUGUCGUCAGCUCGUGUCGUGAGAUGUUGGGUUAAGUCCCGCAACGAGCGCAACCCUUGUUCUUAGUUGCCAGCAUUUAGUUGGGCACUCUAAGGAGACUGCCGGUGACAAACCGGAGGAAGGUGGGGAUGACGUCAAAUCAUCAUGCCCCUUAUGACCUGGGCUACACACGUGCUACAAUGGAUGGUACAAAGGGCUGCAAACCUGCGAGGGUGAGCGAAUCCCAAAAAGCCGGUCCCGGUUCGGAUUGAAGGCUGAAACUCGCCUUCAUGAAGGCGGAGUUGCUAGUAAUCGCGGAUCAGCAACGCCGCGGUGAAUACGUAC
rnacentral:rRNA from 1 species